rnacentral:rRNA from 1 species
CCUACGGGCGGCAGCAGUGAGGAAUAUUGGUCAAUGGACGAGAGUCUGAACCAGCCAAGUAGCGUGAAGGAUGACUGCCCUAUGGGUUGUAAACUUCUUUUAUAUGGGAAUAAAAUGUUCCACGUGUGGGAUUUUGUAUGUACCAUAUGAAUAAGGAUCGGCUAACUCCGUGCCAGCAGCAGCGGUAAUACGGAGGAUCCGAGCGUUAUCCGGAUUUAUUGGGUUUAAAGGGAGCGUAGGUGGAUUGUUAAGUCAGUUGUGAAAGUUUGCGGCUCAACCGUAAAAUUGCAGUUGAAACUGGCAGUCUUGAGUACAGUAGAGGUGGGCGGAAUUCGUGGUGUAGCGGUGAAAUGCUUAGAUAUCACGAAGAACUCCGAUUGCGAAGGCAGUUCACUGGACUGCAACUGACACUGAGGCUCGAAAGUGUGGGUAUCAAACAGGAUUAGAUACCCUAGUAGUC